AGUGAACGCUGGCGGUAGGCCUAACACAUGCAAGUCGAACGGCAGCACAGUAAGAGCUUGCUCUUACGGGUGGCGAGUGGCGGACGGGUGAGGAAUACAUCGGAAUCUACUUUUUCGUGGGGGAUAACGUAGGGAAACUUACGCUAAUACCGCAUACGACCUACGGGUGAAAGCAGUGGAUCUUCGGACCUUGCGCGUUUGAAUGAGCCGAUGUCGGAUUAGCUAGUUGGCGGGGUAAAGGCCCACCAAGGCGACGAUCCGUAGCUGGUCUGAGAGGAUGAUCAGCGACACUGGAACUGAGACACGGUCCAGACUCCUACGGGAGGCAGCAGUGGGGAAUAUUGGACAAUGGGCGCAAGCCUGAUCCAGCCAUACCGCGUGGGUGAAGAAGGCCUUCGGGUUGUAAAGCCCUUUUGUUGGGAAAGAAAAGCAGCAGGUUAAUACCCCGCUGUUCUGACGGUACCCAAAGAAUAAGCACCGGCUAACUUCGUG
rnacentral:rRNA from 1 species